GACGAACGCUGGCGGCGUGCUUAACACAUGCAAGUCGAACGGAAAGGCCCUGCUUUUGUGGGGUGCUCGAGUGGCGAACGGGUGAGUAACACGUGAGUAACCUGCCCUUGACUUUGGGAUAACUUCAGGAAACUGGGGCUAAUACCGGAUAGGAGCUCCUGCUGCAUGGUGGGGGUUGAAAGUUUCGGCGGUUGGGGAUGGACUCGCGGCUUAUCAGCUUGUUGGUGGGGUAGUGGCUUACCAAGGCUUUGACGGGUAGCCGGCCUGAGAGGGUGACCGGCCACAUUGGGGCUGAGAUACGGCCCAGACUCCUACGGGAGGCAGCAGUGGGGAAUAUUGCACAAUGGGCGGAAGCCUGAUGCAGCAACGCCGCGUGCGGGAUGACGGCCUUCGGGUUGUAAACCGCUUUCGCCUGUGACGAAGCGUGAGUGACGGUAAUGGGUAAAGAAGCACCGGCUAACUACGUG
rnacentral:rRNA from 1 species